AUUGAACGCUGGCGGCAGGCCUAACACAUGCAAGUCGAGCGAGCGGCGGACGGGUGAGUAAUGUCUGGGAAACUGCCUGAUGGAGGGGGAUAACUACUGGAAACGGUAGCUAAUACCGCAUACCAACAGCUGUACCCCGAUGGGAUUAGCUGGUAGGUGGGGUAACGGCCCACCAAGGCAACGAUCCCUAGCUGGUUUGAGAGGAUGACCCGCCACACUGGAACUGAGACACGGCCCAGACUCCUACGGGAGGCAGCAGUGGGGAAUUUUGCACAAUGGGCGAAAGCCUGAUGCAGCCAUGCCGCGUGUGUGAUGAAGGCCUUCGGGUUGUAAAGCACUUUCAGCGGGGAGGCGUUACCCGCAGAAGAAGCACCGGCUAACUCCGUGCCAGCAGCCGCGGUAAUAC
rnacentral:rRNA from 1 species